rfam:Homo sapiens chromosome 5, GRCh38 reference primary assembly.
GCUGGGUGUGGUGGCUCACGCCUGUAGUCCCAGCUACUGAGGAGGCUGUGGUGGGAGGAUCACUUGAGCCUGGGAGGUUGAGGCUGUAGUGAGCCAUAAUGGUGCCACUGCACUCCAGCCUAGGCAACACAGUGAGACCCUGUCUCCA